rnacentral:rRNA from 1 species
GAACUUAAGCAUAUCAAUAAGCGGAGGAAAAGAAACCAACAGGGAUUACCUCAGUAACGGCGAGUGAAGCGGUAACAGCUCAAAUUUGAAAUCUGGCUCUUUUAGGGUCCGAGUUGUAAUUUGUAGAAGAUGCUUUGGGAGUGGCUCCGGUCUAAGUUCCUUGGAACAGGACGUCAUAGAGGGUGAGAAUCCCGUAUGUGACUGGCCGCCUUCGCCCGUGUAAAGCUCUUUCGACGAGUCGAGUUGUUUGGGAAUGCAGCUCAAAAUGGGUGGUAAAUUUCAUCUAAAGCUAAAUAUUGGCCAGAGACCGAUAGCGCACAAGUAGAGUGAUCGAAAGAUGAAAAGCACUUUGGAAAGAGAGUUAAACAGUACGUGAAAUUGUUGAAAGGGAAGCGCUUGCAACCAGACUUGCACGUAGUCAAUCAUCUAGUGUUCUCACUGGUGUACUUGGCUGCGUUCAGGCCAGCAUCGGUUCUGGUGGUGGGAUAAAGGCCUUGGGAAUGUAGCUUCUUUCGGGGAGUGUUAUAGCCCUCGGUGCAAUGCCGCCUACCAGGACCGAGGACCGCGCUUCGGCUAGGAUGCUGGCGUAAUGGUUGUAAGCGACCCGUCUUGAAACACGGACCAAGGAGUCUAACAUCUGUGCGAGUGUUUGGGUGUCAAACCCAUACGCGUAAUGAAAGUGAACGGAGGUGAGAGCCCUUAAGGGCGCAUCAUCGACCGAUCCUGAUGUCUUCGGAUGGAUUUGAGUAAGAGCAUAGCUGUUGGGACCCGAAA